rnacentral:RNase_P_RNA from 1 species
UCAGGUGGCUGGAUGGCCGCGGUCCACGAAGGUGGGUCGAGGAAAGUCCGGGCUCCACGGAAACACGGUGCCGGGUAACGCCCGGCGGGGGCGACCCCAGGGAAAGUGCAACAGAAAGCAAACCGCCGUCGCGUCUUCGGACCCGUCGGUAAGGGUGAAAGGGUGCGGUAAGAGCGCACCGCGUUGCCGGUAACGGGAACGGCACGGUAAACCCCACCGGGAGCAAGACCAAAUAGGGAUGGUGGACUGGCUUGCCAGUCAGAUCUGUUUUCGGGUCGCCGUCCGGGUGUGUCGCACGAGGUGUCUGGCAACAGGCAUCCCAGAUGAAUGGUCAUCGCCUGUAUCGCCGCGAGGUGCACAGGUACAGAACCCGGCUUACAGGCCACCUGACGUC